rnacentral:lncRNA from 1 species
CUCUGCCUCCUUGUGAAGAAGGUGACUGCUUCCCCUUCGCCUUUCGCCAUGAUUGUAGGUUUCCUGAGGCCUUUUCAAUCAUGUGGAACUACGGGAGGCUCCUAUUCUUUCUUCGUGAUCUGGGCAAUACAUGUCUUGCUGUUAUUGUUGCUUAUUCAGGACACAUAUAUUUCUCAGUGUGAAGACUUUUUAGAAUGUGUAUUCCAUUCAUAUUGAUGGAAGUAGGAGUCACACAGAUUUCCGGUCAGACUUAGAAGUCACACCCAGAAAGGAACUCACCUUCGACUCUUCAAAAGGAUACCACAUAGCCCUAAAAUAAGAUCUCAUGUCAAAUUACAAUCCCCAAUGCUGGAGGUGGGGCCUGGUUGGAGCUGAGUGGAUCAUGGGGGCGAACUUCUCCUUUGCUGUUCUCAUGAUAGUGAGUAAGUUCUGACAAGCUCUGGAUGUUUGAAAGUGUGUGGCAUCUCCUCCAUCUCUCUUUUUCUCCUACUCCAGUCAUGUAAGACAUGGCUGCUUCCCCUUCACCUUCCACCAUGAUUGAAAGUUUCCGGAGGCCUCCCCAGCCGUGUUACCUGUACAACCCAUGGAACCAUGAAUCAAUUAAACCUCUUCUUUGUAAAU